GUGUGUGUGUGUGUGUAUGUAUAUAUGUGUGUGUGUGUGUGUGUAUAUAUAUAUAUAUAUACAUACAUACAUACAUACAUACAUACACUG